rnacentral:rRNA from 1 species
AGCUCCAAUAGCGUAUAUUAAAGUUGUUGCAGUUAAAAAGCUCGUAGUUGGAUAUCUGGUGGGAGUGACCGGUCGGCCCCAUUGUGGGUGUGUACUAGUGUCGUCUCUUGCCAUCCUUGAGGAGAGCGUCUCUGGCAUUAAGUUGUCGGAGUCGGGACCCUCAUCCUUUACUGUGAAAAAAUUAGAGUGUUUAAAGCAGGCUUAGGCCGUUGAAUACAUUAGCAUGGAAUAAUAAGAUAGGACUUUGGUGGUCUAUUUUGUUGGUUUGCACACCAAGGUAAUGAUUAAUAGGGACAGUUGGGGGUAUCCGUAUUUCGUAGUCAGAGGUGAAAUUCUUGGAUUUACGAAAGACGAACUACUGCGAAAGCAUUUACCAAGGAUGUUUUCAUUAAUCAAGAAC